rnacentral:rRNA from 1 species
CCUACGGGUGGCUGCAGUGGGGAAUAUUGCACAAUGGGCGCAAGCCUGAUGCAGCUAUGCCGCGUGUGUGAAGAAGGCCUUCGGGUUGUAAAGCACUUUCAGCGGGGAGGAAGGCGGUGAGGUUAAUAACCUCAUCGAUUGACGUUACCCGCAGAAGAAGCACCGGCUAACUCCGUGCCAGCAGCCGCGGUAAUACGGAGGGUGCAAGCGUUAAUCGGAAUUACUGGGCGUAAAGCGCACGCAGGCGGUCUGUCAAGUCGGAUGUGAAAUCCCCGGGCUCAACCUGGGAACUGCAUUCGAAACUGGCAGGCUAGAGUCUUGUAGAGGGGGGUAGAAUUCCAGGUGUAGCGGUGAAAUGCGUAGAGAUCUGGAGGAAUACCGGUGGCGAAGGCGGCCCCCUGGACAAAGACUGACGCUCAGGUGCGAAAGCGUGGGGAGCAAACAGGAUUAGAUACCCCGGUAGUC